GUUAUAUGGUCAAGCGAAUAAGCGCACACGGUGGAUGCCUUGGCGGUCAGAGGCGAUGAAGGACGUGGCAGCCUGCGAAAAGUAUCGGGGAGCUGGCAACAAGCUUUGAUCCGGUAAUGUCCGAAUGGGGAAACCCACCCGCUUGCGGGUAUCCUGCAGUGAAUACAUAGCUGCUGGAAGCGAACCUGGUGAACUGAAAUAUCUAAGUAACCAGAGGAAAAGAAAUCAACCGAGAUUCCGUAAGUAGCGACGAGCGAAGAAGGUGAUAGCCCUGUAUCUGAAAGGGCCAUUUCAGUGAAGACGAGUAGGGCGGGGCACGUGAAACCCUGUCUGAACAUGGGGGGACCAUCCUCCAAGGCUAAAUACUACUGACCGACCGAUAGUGAACCAGUACCGUGAGGGAAAGGCGAAAAGAACCCCGGAGAGGGGAGUGAAAU
rnacentral:rRNA from 1 species